GCACUGAAAACUCAUCCUUUUUCUGCUGUGCAGUGCAGAGGGAGGUAAUUGAGUGCUAGAGAAAUGCAGAGGAAAUCCAGACAGAGCAUGUUCUUACCUUGUGUUCUGUCCCUACACCUCAGCCACAUGC
rfam:Xenopus laevis strain J chromosome 2L, whole genome shotgun sequence.